GACGAACGCUGGCGGCGUGCUUAACACAUGCAAGUCGAGCGGAAAGGCCCUUCGGGGUACUCGAGCGGCGAACGGGUGAGUAACACGUGAGUAACCUGCCCCAGACUUUGGGAUAACCCUCGGAAACGGGGGCUAAUACCGGAUACGACACAGCUUCGCAUGGGGUCUGUGUGGAAAGUUUUUCGGUUUGGGAUGGGCUCGCGGCCUAUCAGCUUGUUGGUGGGGUGAUGGCCUACCAAGGCGACGACGGGUAGCCGGCCUGAGAGGGCGACCGGCCACACUGGGACUGAGACACGGCCCAGACUCCUACGGGAGGCAGCAGUGGGGAAUAUUGCACAAUGGGCGGAAGCCUGAUGCAGCGACGCCGCGUGAGGGAUGACGGCCUUCGGGUUGUAAACCUCUUUCAGCAGGGACGAAGCGUAAGUGACGGUACCUGCAGAAGAAGCGCCGGCCAACUAAGUG
rnacentral:rRNA from 1 species